AAACUAUAGUGUGGACAAUGAAUUAACAAAUUAUUGAAUAUCUCACACGCCUAAAAAAAGUGUCAUCAGUCUGUUGAGUAAACAACAUGGUAUUAUCUCUACGUGU